AUGGAGAAGUUCUCCAUGGCGGCGACCAUGUUCUGCGCCGUUGUCCUCGCGGCUCUGGCGGCGGCCGGCGGUGGUGAGGCGGCGGUCGUGGAACACACCUUUGUUGUGCACGAGAUGAACCAGACACACCUGUGCAACACCACCAAGAUUUACGUGGUGAAUGGGCAGCUCCCAGGCCCCACCAUCGACGUCACCGACGACGACACGGUUGUCGUCCACGUCGUCAACCGUCUCCCUCACGGGCUCACCAUCCACUGGCAUGGUGUCCGGCAGAUGAGGAGCUGCUGGUCCGAUGGCGCCGGCUUCGUCACCGAAUGCCCCAUCCCUCCCGGCGGCGAGCACAUGUACAGCUUCAACGUCACGGGCCAAGUUGGCACGCUGUGGUGGCACGCCCACGUCACCUGCCUCCGCGCCACCGUUGCCGGCGCCUUCAUCAUCCGCCCCAAGGGCGGGAGGUACCCGUUCCCGACGCCCGCCAAGGACGUGCCCAUCAUCAUCGGCGAGUGGUGGGAGCUCGACCUCGUCGAGCUAGACAGGAGGAUGCAUGAUGGUAACUUUGACGACAAUCCGCUGUCGGCGACCAUCAACGGUAAGCUCGGCGACCUCAGCAACUGCUCUGGCAAGCCGGAGGAGAGCUUCGUCCUCGACGUGGUGCGCGGGGACACAUACCUGCUGCGGAUUGUGAACAUGGCGCUCUUUUCGGAGUACUACUUCAAGGUCGCUGGGCACACGUUCAUGGUGGUGGGCGCCGACGGGUACUACCUGACGCCGUAUAAGACGGACAUGGUGACCGUCGCGCCAGGGGAGGCCAUCGACGUGCUCAUGGCCGCUAACGCCCCGCCCGCGCACUACCAUAUGGUGGCGCUCGCAAACCAGCCGCCGGAGCCUGACCCGCAGAUCCCGGGCCAGCACAACACCAUGCCGUCCUACUACUUCCACAGCAACCUCACCGGCCUCGCCCACCCAGACCGCCACCGCGUUCCCAUGCACGUCGAUGAGCGCCUCUUCUUCACGCUCGGCCUCGGCUCCAUCUGCCGCGGCACCAACAAGACAUGCGAGCGUGGGAGGAGUCCAGAGACCAUCGUGGUGGCCACCAUGAACAACGUGUCCUUCCGCCACCCGACUAACGCGUCGCUCCUCGAGAGGUACUACGACGGCCGGACAAGUGGCCUCUACACGGAGGACCUCCCCGACCAUCCGCCGCACCCGUACAACUAUACCGACCGCUCCCUCAUCCCGCCGGGGCCGCUGGAGAAGGCACUCGAGCCGACGUUCAAGGCGACCAAGCUACGGAGGUUCCGGUACAACACCUCGGUGGAGAUCAUCUUCCAGGGCACGGCGCUGCUGCAGAGCGACUCCAACCCCAUGCACCUCCAUGGCUACGACUUCUUUGUCCUCGCCACGGGACUGGGCAACUACAACCCCAAGACGGACCCCAAGAAGUUCAACUACCACAACCCACCGCUGAGGAACACGGUGCAGGUGCCCAGGACUGGCUGGGCCGCCGUGCGCUUCGUCACCGACAACCCUGGGAUGUGGUACCUCCACUGCCACUUUGAGUUCCACAUCAUCAUGGGCAUGGCGACGGCGUUCAUCGUGGAAAACGGGCCAACGCCAGAGACCAGCCUGCCCCCGCCGCCCCCAGAAUUCAAGAGGUGUGGCGCCAAUGGCUUCACUCAGCCAUAG
rnacentral:rRNA from 1 species